GCAAGUCGAGCGGAAACGAUGUUAACAAUCCUUCGGGGGCGUUAACAGGCGUCGAGCGGCGGACGGGUGAGUAAUGCUUAGGAAUUUGCCCAGUUGAGGGGGAUAACUAUUGGAAAUGAUAGCUAAUACCGCAUACGCCCUAAGGGGGACAGGAGGGGACCUUCGGGCCUUCCGCGAUUGGAUAAGCCUAAGUGAGAUUAGCUAGUUGGGGGGGUAAUGGCUCACCAAGGCGACGAUCCCUAGCUGGUCUGAGAGGAUGAUC
rnacentral:rRNA from 1 species